GUAUCAUUUGGUAUACAUAUAUCCAUCCUAUUCAGUCAAUCUCCCAAGAGCCAUCAGACACACAAAAUUGGGACAAAACAAUUGUGCCAUGGUACCCAGUGUACCGGCGUUUGUUCAUUAAUGAUCCUUCCGCAGGUUCACCUACGGAAA
rnacentral:misc_RNA from 1 species